GAGAUAGACAGGGAACAAGCAGAGCAUGGAUUGAGUUUACUAAAACACUAAACGACUUUUGUCUCUACCCAUGCACUGCCUCUUCCCUGGCUCUUUC
rnacentral:pre_miRNA from 1 species